rnacentral:piRNA from 1 species
UUAAAACGAAGUGAAAUUCAA